CUCCAACUGACUGUUGAAUGUGUUUUUCAGUUUGGCUGACAGACGGUUUUUUCCUUUCAGUGUUGCUGGAAAUAACCUUGAAACAAACAAUGCUGCGUGAUGGAUCACAUAAAAGUGCAGCUGAGGAUAGUCAUUCUUAUAAGUCUUAUAACAGCGACAACCUCAUCUGCUGAUGUGCAGAUAAGGAACCUGACAAGUAUUGAAGGACGAUCCAUCACUCUGCCUGACUCUGUGUGGGAGAGAGCCUUUCUUUCCACUAAUAAAAAUGUAAUUGCAACAGUAUUUAAUAACUGUCUGAUCAUAGAAGAGGAAUUGUACUGGGGCAGAAUUCACUUGAACAAGGAUGGACGCUUUUCAAUCACAGGACUCCAGAAAAGUGACUCUGGAAUUUUUAUUAUCGACUCGAAAAAAGGACAUGUUUUUUCAUCCACUUAUAAACUCAUAGUGUAUGAAUCACAGAGAAAUUAUCU